GGUAUUUUUUUUUUUACAGGGGCAGCUUGUCCGGGGUUUCACAUGUUGAUUCUAGAAUGUGUGUGUGUGAGCCAGCUUUGCUGUGAUUCUGGGAAUUAAAGUCCACAAGUCUUCAAGUGGCCAAGGUUGGAGACCCAUGCCUAGGAGACCUAAUUUAAUCAACUCUUGUGUUUGCAGACCUUAUCCUUUGAUAUGUGGAUUAGGGUUAGGUCUGGGUAACUCACUUGAGGAAGUUGGCUAAUUUUAGUUGCUUAACUUAGUUUUAGCUUGACUGUUAAUUAUCUAGCAGGUACACUGAUUCUCAGGCCAUUCCGUUCAUAUUUUAAGGGGAAGAUGGAAACAGUAUAAAGAAUAAAAUAUAUUUGGAUAUACAAGGAAAGAGAAAGAAACGCCUAAAGAAGCCAUUUCCAGUCUUCUUUUGCAGCCUACACUCUUUAACUCCUAACUAUACCCACUCUCCCAAACUACAGGUCGUGGUUCCCAUAAACACCCCUCGCUCAUCAAUCUAAAAUGAGACUUUUGGAGCUUCGAAAGCUGGAUGGGAUAACAAUUGCAGGGAAGCAUGGCAUGACCAAAUGAAGCUGCCAAAGACCGACACCCCCCCCCCCCCACAGAGCUUGGAUUGCAGAUGCCAUCUUUGGGAGUGAAGCCAUCCAGCUGGGCUGUCAAACAUCAUCUGACCUAAGACAGGCUUGCCUCUUUUUCAGACUCGUCCAUUUUUCCCCCCAGCAAAUUAUGGUCACCAUAGCCUAGCGCAGAAAGAGCCAAAAACGGACGGUUUUAAAACCCUAAAAUUCCUAAGUUUAUGAAUGGUGAUGAAAUGUCCUCUCAAAAAUCUGGAGCUCAAAAACGCAAGGAAAAACAGAAAUGUGAUGAGAUUAAUAAAAAGGGUGACAAAUGCUUUUUUCAAUUUGGGGUUAAAAUGCGAAACAAAUGAAACUAACCCAAAUGAAACCUUUAAUUCAGAACAAUGUGAGGCAAGUGCAGAACUGAAAGCAAGAUCGGAAUCUCAUGAGGGCCGUUCGGAUUUUCAAGAAACAUCAGAUAAGUACAUUCUCAAUUUAAAGAUUUAGAGGAAAAAAGGUUGCUAAAUGAACCCAUUUUUAGGAUCAACAUAACACUUCAAACCAAACAUGAGCAGCACCCUAACCCUAAACCAGACCCUCUCCC